rnacentral:misc_RNA from 1 species
ACCACUCAAGCACCGCUUGGUAUUGGGCAUCGUCCGUCGAAAGGCGGGCGUGCCUCGAAGACCUCGGCGGGGUUUCUCCAACUUCGGGCGUAGUAGAGUUAAAUCAAAACGUCUUAUAAGCUUGGUGAGAUCUCAUUGCCGUUAAACCUUUUAUUUUUCAGGUUGACCUCGGAUCAGGUAGGGAUACCCGCUGAACUUAA